rnacentral:rRNA from 1 species
UACGUAGGGUGCGAGCGUUAAUCGGAAUUACUGGGCGUAAAGCGUGCGCAGGCGGUUUUGCAAGCCAGAUGUGAAAUCCCCGGGCUUAACCUGGGAAUGGCAUUUGGGACUGCAAGGCUGGAGUGCGGCAGAGGAGACUGGAAUUCCUGGUGUAGCAGUGAAAUGCGUAGAUAUCAGGAGGAAUACCGAUGGCGAAGGCAGGUCUCUGGGCUGACACUGACGCUCAUGCACGAAAGCGUGGGGAGCAAACAGG